UACGUAGGGGGCCAGCGUUGCUCGGAAUUACUGGGCGUAAAGGGUUCGUAGGUGGUGCGGCAAGUUGGGAGUGAAAUCUCUGGGCUUAACCCAGAGGCUGCUUUCAAAACUGCCGUGCUCGAGUGCGAGAGAGGUCAGUGGAAUUGCAGGUGUAGCGGUGAAAUGCGUAGAUAUCAGGAAGAACACCCGUGGCUAAGGCGGCUCUCUAGUACGGUACUGACGCUGAGACGCGAAAGCGUGGGGAGCGAACAGG
rnacentral:rRNA from 1 species